rnacentral:rRNA from 1 species
UACGUAGGUGGCAAGCGUUGUCCGGAAUUACUGGGUGUAAAGCGCGUGUAGGCGGGAGGCCAAGUCUGCUGUGAAAUCGCUCGGCUCAACUGGGCGGGGUCGGUGGAAACUGGUCACCUGGAGGACGGUAGAGGCGAGUGGAAUUCCCGGUGUAGUGGUGAAAUGCGUAGAGAUCGGGAGGAACACCAAUUGCGAAGGCAGCUCGCUGGGACGUGACUGACGCUGAGACGCGAAAGCGUGGGGAGCGAACAGG